CCUACGGGUGGCAGCAGUGGGGAAUAUUGCGCAAUGGGCGAAAGCCUGACGCAGCGACGCAGCGUGAGGGAUGAAGGUCUUAGGAUCUUAAACCUCCGUCAGCAAGGCAGAACGGUCACUGUGCUAAUCAGCAGUGAAUUGACGGUACCUGCAAAGGAAGCACCGGCUAACUCCGUGCCAGCAGCCGCGGUAAUACGGCGGGUGCGAGCGUUAAUCGGAAUGACUGGGCGUAACGCGCUCGUAGGCGGUAGGUCAAGUCAAGGGUGAAAUGCCCGGGCUCAACGUGGGAACUGACUUUGAAACUGGCAAACUGGAGUGUGUGAGAGGAUAGUGGAAUUCCAGGUGUAGGAGUGAAAUCCGUAGAUAUCAGGAGGAACAUCAGUGGCGAAGGCGACUAUCUGGCACAUAACUGACGCUGAGGAGCGAAAGCGUGGGUAGCAAACAGGAUUAGAUACCCGUGUAGUC
rnacentral:rRNA from 1 species